AGUCCUAGCAAACUGGCCUCCCAGCUCUCCAACCCCCCCCUCCCUUAAAAUUCUUGAACAUGAUCUUGCCCAGGAGAUCCAGGAGCUCUGUGGGUCCACAAUGCCCUACUUGAAUUUCUCCAAACAGGGUCUGACUGAAACAAUGAAUUCCCAUAUUGCUGUUCGAGCAAUUUUCCUGUAAUCUGGAAGUUUCAGAAGUUAAUGGAUACUAAGAUUUGAUUGCCAGUCAUAAAUUCACACACUAUAGAUGACAGUGCCUUGGAGAGAAUGCCUGAGUAUCUGGAAUUAUUCACAUCCAUUAAUUAUGGAUUGGCUUAUUCAAUGUUACUUAACCUAAGAAACAAUCUAUAAAAUCCUUUACUUACAGUUGGGCAUUCAGUCGUAGUCUUAUGGAUCCCCACAAUGAUGACGUAGAUGAACUACAUGCGAUGUGAAUAGGAUAAUCCAAUUGUUGCUAAUUCUGAUGUAAUAAAAACUUUGGAAAAUGUU